rnacentral:rRNA from 1 species
CGUAGGGUGCGAGCGUUAAUCGGAAUUACUGGGCGUAAAGCGUGCGCGGGCGGUUUUGUAAGACAGAUGUGAAAUCCCCGGGCUCAACCUGGGACCUGCAUUUGUGACUGCAAGGCUAGAGUACGGUAGAGGGGGAUGGAAUUCCGCGUGUAGCAGUGAAAUGCGUAGAUAUGCGGAGGAACACCGAUGGCGAAGGCAAUCCCCUGGACCUGUACUGACGCUCAUGCACGAAAGCGUGGGGAGCAAACAGGAUUAGAUACCCUGGUAGUCCACGCCCUAAACGAUGUCAACUGGUUGUUGGGUCUUUACUGACUCAGUAACGAAGCUAACGCGUGAAGUUGACCGCCUGGGGAGUACGGCCGCAAGGUUG